UUCCACUUACGCUGUGUACAGUGGGUUUUGAAGAACAUUCAGAGGACAGCUGCCUUAGUUCUCCUGAAAAGCAUCUCAGCAGCCACCUUGCUAUCCUAACUUCUUCUGGACUGGACUACACUGGUUUGCAGGGCAGCAUUCUUGCUUUCUGGGCUCUUUCAAGGGUUCGUCAGUAACACCUACUGAGGGAUAAGGUGACUCCUGUUUAGCUGUCACCGAGACCCAUUCACCUGGAGAAGAAAGACAUGUUGUUUUUGACAAGUCACUUCAGGACAUGGAAACUUGGGGAUCUACUGGUCUGGAAGAUAUGAGUAGCAAACAAUUCAGAAGUAGUUGGGAGAAAUGACCUCCACGUCCCACAGUCCACAGUCCCAUCUCCACAGUUCUGUAGGAGCACCAUCUUUGCAGGCUCGAAAGCAAAUCACUGUAAGAGGUGAUGGACCCACUAGAAGAAUGAAAUGAGUCCAGGCCACAAGCAGUUGCAAAAUCCCAGGAUACCUGUCACCCUGUCACUUUUAUUAGAGAAGAAGCCCCACUAAAAUGAGUGUAUUACUCGGCUGUCAUGGGAAGAGCUUACUCCUUCAGUGGAUCGGAAGAAAAUACAGAGACCACGACUGGAUAAUGUGCCAAAACCAGGGGACAUUAAGUCCUAAGUCUCCAUCAAAUCUGUCUGCUCAGGACUCAAGGAACCCUUCAGAAAAAGAGACAGAAAGAGUUUAGGAGCCAGCAGGGAUGGGGAACACCAAAGAAGCCAUGCAUAAGUAGACGGACACAUAUGUGCACUCACAGAGACUGCAGC